rnacentral:rRNA from 1 species
CCUACGGGUGGCAGCAGUGGGGGAUAUUGCACAAUGGGGGGAACCCUGAUGCAGCGACGCCGCGUGUGGGAAGACGGUCCUCUGGAUUGUAAACCACUGUCCCCAGGGACGAAAAUGACGGUACCUGGGGAGGAAGCUCCGGCUAACUAAGUGCCAGCAGACGCGGUAAUACGGAGGGGGCGAGGGUUGUCCGGAAUUACUGGGGGAAAAGGGAGCGUAGGCGGGGAUGCAAGUUGGGUGGCAAAACUACCGGCACAACUGGUAGUCGCACUCAAAACUGUAGCUCUUGAGUGAAGUAGAGGCAGGCGGAAUUCCUAGUGUAGCGGUGAAAUGCGUAGAUAUUAGGAGGAACACCAGUUGCGAAGGCGGCCUGCUGGGCUUUUACUGACGCUGAUGCUCGAAAGUGUGGGGAGCAAACAGGAUUAGAUACCCUAGUAGUC